AUUUACUUUGAAUCAGCUGAGCAGGUGUUGGCUUGAGUGUUCUGCGAAUUGAAGUUUGAGGUAAAAUGGCCAUUGGAGUUAAAGAUGAUCUUUCUUCUCUAAUGCGAUGGGGAGGUGGGGAUACCAUCUUAUAUCUCAGACCACGCUUAGAUGAUCAAUAAAUAGCAUGACCCAUAAAAUAAAACACAAUAUAGAAACAUGUAGUUUCUACAGCAACAACUUACAAUUAAAAAAAUAAAAGAAUCAAUUUCCAGGCUUUGUUAGUUUUCUUGCCUUAAAUCUGACAAAGACCAAGGGCUGUAACUGCAAUUUUCUGGGCAGGGGCUAUAAACAUUCCUCUCAUUCCCAUUGUUCUGUCCUUUUUCUUUUCACCUUUCUGAACCUCCCAAAUAGCCCAACUUUUCUCUCUGGUGAUGUCUGAUUCACUUGCCACCUGCUACAUCUUUCCCCAGCCAACAGACUGAGCUCUGUGGUCCAGGUGCGUUUCAGUAUGUGGCCUUUGUUUCUGAUGUCAGUUGUUGACAUAAAAAUGUCCCUAUAUUGUCACACUUGAACAAUCCCAAUUUCAUCUUGCAGAAGUAAAUAUGAGCUCCGCUCAUGGCUGAGUUUGUAAAACCUAAAUGAAUGAGGUGUAGUCUCGAGGCUACAGCCUGAUCUG
rnacentral:lncRNA from 1 species